CCGGGAGCUCGCAAGCCAGGCCGGGAGGGAGAGGGAGAGGGGAGAGAGGUAGAAAAUGCUGAAAGAUCAACUCUGAUUUGUGGCUGGCUUCCCAGCAGUCUCUGCUUCACCAUAUCUGGGAGCCAGAAGUACUCAAGUUUGAUAACUCAAAAGGCAGAACAAUCAGUCAAGGGGGUUUGGACCUAUAACCUAGAAUAAAUCUCUGGAGUUAGCUGUGGCCACUGUUCACCCUGAGGUUUGAGUUGCAAAGGAAGCCAGUCUUCAGAAAGCCAACGAAGGAUGAAGGAAAUGCUCUGAAAGGAGCAGGAAUAAGGAAUGGAAAGAAUACAAGCAGUAAUCAAUUUCCUGAGUCUAAAGCUUCCUAAGGUCCAGCUUUGUGCCUGUGCUAAGGAGCUACUGAAUAAUAGGAAUUUAUCACUGCCUGGGUUUUGAUAUGAAAAUUUCCUGUUUAACAAAAAAUCAUAUGCGACAUUUCUGACCAUGAAAAAUCUCAUUCAGUCUCAUGGACACAGAGACAGUUUUCCAGAGAAGACAUCUGUGGCGAAGCAGCUAAUACCCCGUGCACUUGUCAUCAGAUCAGUAACGGGGUCUGACUGGAUCUUUCUGAGCCGUGACUGCCCCUGGACUGAAUGGGGCAUUUAUCACACUGUCGCAGACAAGCCAGCUGACCAUCAUGCACACAGGCCCAAGAGCCUGUCAAUUAGCUCCUGUCCAUUAGCCCUUGUCCAAACACACAAACACUCUGGCCCUGGUACUGCAGUCACAUUAUCAGUCCCCUCCAGACCCUGCAAGCGUGACCAGGCAUGAGCUCGCUGUCUCCUAUCAUCCCUCAUCUCCACUUGGACAAACUGGCAGUUAAUUAGCUAAUGUGGGUAAAAAUGCUUGAAGCUGAAAAAUGCUCAGCUGAGCUAUUAUGAUAAUUGGCUCCUGGGCCACCUUCCUCCAAUUCCCUGCACCCUAAAGUUUGCCCACAGGACUCCUUCUAUCUGUCAAUAGGAAAACUACACAGGAAAUGACUGAGUGGCCACCCAUGUUCAAGGCUGGAGCCCCUCAAUCCUCCUGGUGUUGCUGCUAUGGAUUCAGCCAACUAGAAUUAUAAAUCUCGAAGCCUGGAGUCUGGAUUGGCUUUCCUCUUUUAAAAGAACUGGUAGCUUGGCAGAUCCAGGGUUCCCCAAAUUAUCAAACUUUGGAUGAUCUUUGGUCCCUUCAGCUGGAUGGACCACUGACAAAGCCAAAACAGCCUUUGAAAUGAUUAUGUGGAAAUCAUAGCCUUAUUUGCUUUAAACUUGACAUUCCUAGGGCCAAAAUUCAAUUCUCCAUCUCUCAAGUCAAACUCCUAUAGGAGCCAUGAGAAAUCUUUGUUCAGAAAGUUGAUCACUGAAGGUCAGGGUGAUUGCUAAAGUGCCCAAAGCUGUUGACAUCUCCAACAGUUAUCAAAUGCCAAAAUAGGAAGGUGCCCAGGGCAGACACAUGUUACUCCUGUCUAUCUCCCCUUUCUGAAAGGUACUUUUGCGCAGUGGAGCUGAAAAUAGCUGACCUCAAUCACCCAAAGCCCAAUUUCAGAAGAGUUAACAGCACAAUUUCAUUGUGGUCCUGUUUGGGCAAUUCCUGUAUGUUCCUUAAUGAUACUUAAGGAACAGUUAGAGCAUCCUCUGUUUCUCCCUGCAUUUCUAUCAUCCUUCCUCUCCACUCCCAUUCCUAAGUCCUCAUCAGUACUCAUUGUGGCAGCUAUUAGAGUCUCCUGGGUCACCCCACCUCACUCCUCCCCCACCCCCAUCUCUGCUAACUCUAAGCUCUCCUCCACUGCAGCAAGAGAGAUCAUUUGAAAGUCAUUUGAAAACACAGUUAUGACCAUAUGACUUCCAGCCUAAAUGUGUUUGAAGGCCCUCUGUCAUCCACAGAGUAUGUUCAAAUGCCCUAACUUGACAAACAAGUCACUUUAGAAUCUGGUCCCCACUUCUCACCUCCCAACACGCCAUGCUUGUACCACAUCAGGCAGUAUCCCCUUCCCCACCUGUGACCUGGACAUGCUGCCCUUACACCUUUUCCUUCUUGAAAUUCCCUCUCCACCUCAUCUCCAUCCAUCCUCAAAGGCCAGCCCAAGUACCACCUCUUCUGGGAAGCCUUCCAUGAGUUGAUCUCUGAACUCCCAGAGCACUUUCCUUGUUAUUCUCUUCAGCCUGCCCUGCUUUAUACAGUAGCUGCUAAUGUACAAUUGUUCUCUCCCCCAUGGGACGGUGGGCAUCUUAAGAAAGUCCUAUAAGCUAGUGUGUAGUAAGUAUACUGUAAGUACUGGUAACCAUUUAGUGACUGAUGAACAAACAGAAGCAGAAAGAUUAUAGGCUAACAAGAGCAUGAAUCAGAGGAAGAGAACUGGAAUGAAGGGAGAACCCCAAAUCAUUAUAGAAAAAGAAUGGUUGACAAGGUUGAAGACUUAGCUAUCAUCAUAAUAACAAUAGGUGUGGGUAUUGUGCUAAGAAUUAUCAUGUUUACUUAUCACAUCCACUCCGUCAUGUAGGUACUAUUACUAUCAGCAUUUUAUAGAUGAGAAACUGAGGCUUGGAGAGGGCAAAUUCAUUUUGUUUCAGCCACUGGCCUCCUUGUUGGUUUAAACACAUUCUACAUCACAAGAAAUGAUAAAGAACAAAAGUAAAUUAAAAAAAAAAUAAAAUACACACACAUCCUAUGUACUUCCACCUCAGAGCCUUUACCCUCUGCCUGAAACAUUCUUCCUCCAAGUAUAGGCAGGGCUUGCUUCCUCCCUUCUUGCAGAUCUCUGUUCAAAACUCACCUUGUCAAUGAGGCUUCCCUAUGAAUCCUAUAUAAAAUGGCAAAUAAUCCUCCUGGCACUAUCCCCUUACCUACUUUAUCUCCAUAGCACUUAGCUCCAUCGGUCAUACUACAUAUUUUAUUUAUUUUGUUUAUUUUCAGUCUCUUUCCACUAGCUUAUAAAUUUCAUGGUCACACAAUCAGAGGCAAAACCCAGAUUCAAACCCAGAUUCUGACUCCAAAGCCAGAUGAUAACAUUAUAGUCACAUGGGGCAAAGGGAACAGACUUAGUCUUCAUGCCCCCAAAGGCAAAUACUUUUGAUCAUUGGGGAGGCUUCAGAGAGGCUAAUUUUGUCUUAACAUGAGUACAAUCCAGUUGUUAGCCGGGGCCCUCUCUGCCUCUUUAAAACCAGAUAAGACUGGCUCAAAUCCCCAUUCCCAGAGAUUUCCAAAAAUAUUCCCAAACAUUAUUGAAACUCCCAGGGCAAUUACAUUGUUAUGAUUACCUCUGGUUCUGAGUCUUUGCUUCCUUAGAUCAUCUCACGUGCCACAUGUGUUAUCCCUGUCCUGCACCUGGUUUUCAACCCUUUCUAUAAAUACCACACACACACACACACACACACAAUCGCUUACCAGAGGCCUUUGUUACCAAACUUUACUGAACAUUCAUGGAUUUAGCAUAGCCACAGAAAACUUUCCAAAUUUAGCAUUAGACGUUCUUGUUGUUAAAAGCCUGUCUGCUACUAUGCCACGCUAUUUGACUUUCCUUUCUUUCUCCUUCUUUGCCUGGCCCCCAAAUUCUCGAAAGCAAAAACAAACAAGCAAAGGAAAAACUAAUUUUCUUAUUCAAACCACUUAGCUCUGUCCUGCCCCUAAACUUAGUUCUUUAACCUCUCCAUUUGUGUAGCCAAUAAUUUGGCCAAAAUACUUAAGUGGUCAGGUUAGGUCAUUCUCAUCCUUUGUCUUAUUUUCAGGGAUGGAGGGUAGUUCAGUUCUUUCAGUCCAUGAGAGAAAAACUUUCCUUCAGCACUAACUCUCCAAUUAUGGGACAGGUGACCUUUUAAGGCAGUGAGCGCCCCAUCCUUGGAAUUAAGCAAGCAGAGGGUGGACUGAUAUCUGAGUAAAGUACAUGUAGAUUUGCAUAUAAAACAUGGAUGAAGAAGAUGGUGAAGAUCCUUCAACCCUCAGAACUUAUGAUUAUAUAACAGACCAGGCCAUUUGCCUUUUUUUCUGAACAUCAUGAAAAUCUACAGGACAUUUUCAAUUGCAUAUAGUAGAAAACUAGCUCAAACUUGCUUAAACAAAAAAGGGAGAUUUUUUUGCCUCACAUAAAUGAAAAAUGAGGCAGCUGAAUCCAGAAGCUCAAAUAAAUUUCCAGGUAUAUAUCGUCUCCAUUUCUUGACACCACUUAGCUAAUGUUGACUUCUGACUUAGGUGAGGUCUCCCCUUGAAUGGCAAAAACAGCCAAUAGCCAGCUCCAGACCUACAUUCUUCCACUUCUCUCCCUUACCCCCAACCCCCUAAUAGAAGAGAUGACCUCUGUUACAUUUGUUCCAGCAAAAGUCUCCCAUUGCCCCACUUGGGUGAAACGCCUAUCACUAAACCAAUCACUGUGAUGAUUGGCCAGGCCAGGGUUUUGGUGUUUUUGUUUGUUGU